GUCGAACGGAACUGUUUUGAAAGAUUUCUUCGGAAUGAAUUUGAUUUAGUUUAGUGGCGGACGGGUGAGUAACGCGUGAGUAACCUGCCUUCAAGAGGGGGAUAACAUUCUGAAAAGAAUGCUAAUACCGCAUGACAUAUCGGAAUCACAUGGUUUUGAUAUCAAAGAUUUUAUCGCUUGAAGAUGGACUCGCGUCCGAUUAGUUAGUUGGUGAGGUAACGGCUCACCAAGACCGCGAUCGGUAGCCGGACUGAGAGGUUGAACGGCCACAUUGGGACUGAGACACGGCCCAGACUCCUACGGGAGGCAGCAGUGGGGGAUAUUGCGCAAUGGGGGCAACCCUGACGCAGCAACGCCGCGUGAAGGAUGAAGGUUUUCGGAUUGUAAACUUCUUUUAUUAAGGACGAAACUUGACGGUACUUAAUGAAUAAGCUCCGGCUAACUACGUGCCAGCAGCCGCGGUAAUACGUAGGGAGCAAGCGUUGUCCGGAUUUCCUGGGUGUAAAGGGUGCGUAGGCGGCUUUGCAAGUCAGAUGUGAAAUCUAUGGGCUCAACCCAUAAACUGCAUUUGAAACUGUAGAGCUUGAGAGAAGUAGAGGCAGGCGGAAUUCCCCGUGUAGCGGUGAAAUGCGUAGAGAUGGGGAGGAACACCAGUGGCGAAGGCGGCCUGCUGGGCUUUAACUGACGC
rnacentral:rRNA from 1 species